rnacentral:rRNA from 1 species
GACGAACGCUGGCGGCGUGCUUAACACAUGCAAGUCGAACGAUGAUCCCCCGCUUGCGGGGGUUAUUAGUGGCGAACGGGUGGGUAAUACGUGAGUAACCCGCCCUCGACUCUGUGAUAAGCCUGGGAAACCGGGUCUAAUAUUGGAUACUACUUCCUGCCGCACGGUGGGGGGUGGAAAGGGUUUUACGGGUUUUGGAUGGGCUCACGGCCUAUCAGCUUGUUGGUGGAGUAAUGGCUUACCAAGGCGUCGACGGGUAGCCGGCCUGAGAGGGUGACCGGCCACACUGGGGCUGGGGCACGGCCCAGACUCCUACGGGGGGCAAGAGGGGGGAAUAUUGCACAAUGGGCGGGAGCCUGGUGCAACGAAGCCGCGUGGGGGAAGACGGGCUUCGGGUUGUAAACCUGUUUCAGCAGGGAAGGAGCCGCAAGUGACGGUACCUGCAAAAGAAGCGCCGGCUAACUACGUG